rnacentral:lncRNA from 1 species
CUGGAGCUGAGCACAACCCCCAGGUCACAUCCAACAAAGAAACAGGGACCUCAGUCCUAUAAACACCACCAACAGAAUGAACUUGGAAGCAGAUUUUCCCCCAGAGCAUCCAGAUAAGAACUCAGUCCACUCAACAUCUUCAGCUUUGUGAUAUUCCAGGCAUAUUGUGCUGAACUUCUGACUUACAGAACUUCCUGAAAGGAUUAUAAAAGCAAGAAAGAAACAUGGACUCUAAGAAUUAACAACAGUGUGGGAAGCCACGGAGGAGAUUUAUGACUACCCUAAAUUGGUUUGUGUUUGGAUGGU